UUGUAACUUGUCCAAUCGAGGCCUGUUGCCUGCAGCCAACAGCAAAGGAAGAAGGAAACAGGGACACCAGAACCUAUGGUGACGGAGGUUGUAGAAGCACAAGGAGAGAGCCUGUGCCAUCCCCUGCCGUGCCAGCAUGCCCCCACCCCUUCCUCCUGGGGACCCCUGCUGCUUGCCCCGCUGCUCUCGGAGCAACUGAGAGAUCCCAUUCCUUUGGGGAGCCUGCAGCACAAGUGUCUGCCCAGGUUAGAACAGAGGCCAGUCUUUAUUUCUCCCCUUCCCAGGCGGUCGCUUUCCCCUGGCCAGAUGCUAGAUUCAAAUGCGGGGCUGGAUACUGCAGCCCAGUGCUGCGGCGCCCACACUGUGACCAUCUGUGCACAUGUGUGCAUGCACAUGUGUGUGAGCGUCUGCUGGGAGGGCAUGUGCAGCCCGGCUUCUGUUCGGUCCUAGGGUGGGAGCUAUGGCAGUUGCUCCCACCCCAGACUCUCAAUUGCUCCCAAGGAACAGGCAAACCCCACAGGGAGACUCUGACAGACGGUACCAUUGCUCCUGUUCGUACACCAGCAGUGACGCCCCAUUUCCCUGGUGGCUAUGGCUGGGCCCCACCUCAACUCCUGGAACCGGCCCCAGGGAGGUGAUGUCACUAUGGGCCUGUGACAUGGGUACAAAGCUGGGCUGCUGCUGGAGGUGGGGCAGUAUCUGGAGAAGAACCUCGGUGCUGCUGGGCAGGAGCUCAGAGAGCAAUUGCCAAUAACCUGUUCUGUGCCCUCCCUGCAGUGGAAGGGCGCAAGCGCAGGAGAAGAGGAUCUGUGACUGACAUUCCCCUGGCCGUGCCCCUCAAACCCUCUUAGUUCCCAACACAGGGGUGCAGCCAUGCAGGCAGAAGAGGUGCAGGAAGAUCUCUGUGUGCUGCAGGAGCGCCUGGCACAGUGUUCUGCAGAGGCACAAAGGCACAAGAAGCUGCUGGGAUUUGUGAGGCGGCAGUGGUCAGAGCUGGCAGGAGCUGUUCUGGAGCAGGCUGAGGUCAAGAAGGUACUGGGGACAGGAGGGACAAGGGCUCAACAUUACUGUGGGGGGAAGCCACACCCAAGCAGGCAUGGCAUGGACUCCUGACUGGGCCCUUUGCUUUUCCAGCUGCUCAGGAACAGGCUCAAGCUCCUCCGGCAGAAAUGUGAAGGUUUCCAAGAGCCAGCAGCUUCAUGGACAAGGAGGAAUAAGACCAUUUCUUGGCUGCAGUGAGUUGCCCUGGGGUCCAGGGCUCUUCCAUAGGUGGUGGGAUGUCCAUGCCAGAGGUCCAAGAGCAUUAGGCAGCUUUGGACUUGUCCGGGAUCAAGUGUUUCAGUCUUUCUGUUCUUCCUAACUUGGGGGGCAUGUAGGGGGAGAUUCUGGGACACACUGGCAACACCAACAGCGGAGUUGAAACAGAUGCUCAGACCCCCUCAUCCCAGUCCUGCGUGUAGCCUGUUGUGCCCAGCAUAGUACAAGGUCCCACUGUGGUGUUCAAAGAGGGUGCUUGGAAACAGCUGAGACAAAUUUGGCUUCUGCUCUGCCUGACCCCUCUUCUAUCCCACAGGAGGCUUUGUGUGUUCCUCUUGUUGCUGCAGAUAGUCACCUUCGUGGUGCUGCUGACGAGCGAUGGCCUUAACUGGGUCCUGCCACCAAAGCUGGGGGCUGCCCUUGGGAGCUGCCCAGCGAGGGCCUGGUUCUUUUGAAAUCCAACUAGAAAGAGAAUAAAGAAACUUGGGAUUGUAGGA